GACAGAGGGGGCAAGCGUUGCUCGGAAUCACUGGGCGUAAAGCGCACGUAGGCGGCUUUUUAAGUCAGGGGUGAAAUCCUGGAGCUCAACUCCAGAACUGCCUUUGAUACUGGGAAGCUUGAGUCCGGGAGAGGUGAGUGGAACUGCGAGUGUAGAGGUGAAAUUCGUAGAUAUUCGCAAGAACACCAGUGGCGAAGGCGGCUCACUGGCCCGGUACUGACGCUGAGGUGCGAAAGCGUGGGGAGCAAACAGG
rnacentral:rRNA from 1 species